rnacentral:rRNA from 1 species
UACGGAGGGUGCAAGCGUUAUCCGGAUUCACUGGGUUUAAAGGGCGCGUAGGCGGAUAGGUAAGUCCGUGGUGAAAUCCUGCAGCUUAACUGCAGAACUGCCGUGGAUACUAUCUAUCUUGAAUGUCGUGGAGGUUAGCGGAAUAUGUCAUGUAGCGGUGAAAUGCUUAGAUAUGACAUAGAACACCCAUUGCGAAGGCAGCUAACUACGCGAUAAUUGACGCUGAUGCACGAAAGCGUGGGGAUCAAACAGG